ACGGUUUGAAGGAGAAUAAGCAUUCUACCGAGAAAGUGCGAAUGGCUCAUUAUAUAAGUUAUCGUUUAUUUGAUAGUACCUUACUACUUGGAUAACCGUGGUAAUUCUAGAGCUAAUACAUGCUAAACAUCCCGACUUCGGAAGGGAUCCAUUUAUUAGAUUAAAAACCAAUGCCCUUCGGGGCUCACUGGCGAUUCAUGAUAACUCCUCGAAUCGUAUGGCCUUGCGCCGGCUAUGGUUCAUUCAAAUUUCUUCCCUAUCAACUUUCGAUGUUUGGGAAUUGUCCAAACAUGGUUGCAACGGGUAACGGAGGGAUAGGGCUCGACCCCGGAGAAGGAGCCUGAGAAACGGCUACUACAUCCCAGGAAGGCAGCAGGCGCGCAAAUUACCCAAUCCCGACACGGGGAGGUAGUGACAAUAGAUACUGAUACAGGGCUCUUUUGGGUCUUGUAAUUGGAAUGAGUACUAUUUAAAUCCCUUAACGAGGAACAGUUGGAGGGCAAGUCUGGUGCCAGCAGCCGCGGUAAUUCCAGCUCCAAUAGCGCAUAUAAAAGUUGUUGUGGUUAAAAAGCUCGUAGUUGAACCUUGGGCCUGGCUGGCCGGUCCGCCUCACCGCGUGUACUGGUCCGGCCGGGCCUUUCCCUCUGUGGAACCCCAUGCCCUUCACUGGGCGUGGCGGGGAAACAGGACUUUUACUGUGAAAAAAUUAGAGUGCUCCAGGCAGGCCUAUGCUCGAAUACAUUAGCAUGGAAUAAUAGAAUAGGACGUGUGGUUCUAUUUUGUUGGUUUCUAGGACCGCCGUAAUGAUUAAUAGGGACAGUCGGGGGCAUCAGUAUUCAAUUGUCAGAGGUGAAAUUCUUUGAUUUAUUGAAGACUAACAACUGCGAAAGCAUUUGCCAAGGAUGUUUUCAUUAAUCAGGAACGAAAGUUAGGGGAUCGUAGAUGAUCAGAAUCCGUAGUGGUCUUAGCCAUUUACUCUGCCGCCUGGAGACCGGACGGAUAUCUAUGAAUCGUUAGGCAGAUUCGGGAAAUCUCAGACUUGGUACAGUUUUUUUUUGACAGCA
rnacentral:rRNA from 1 species